rnacentral:tRNA from 7 species
GCCCCUGUGACGUAAUUGGAAACCGUAACCAGCUCAGACCUGGUUUUUUUGCAGGUUCAAAUCCUGUCAGGGGUA